UGGGGCUCAGUUGUAGAGCGCUUGCCUAGCAUGCAUGUGGCCCUGGGUUCAAUCCUCAGCA
rnacentral:tRNA from 1 species